GCCGACGUGGACUGGUGUCUGAGUGUGGAAGCAGCCUUGCGUUUCUGGAUUAAAUCCCACUUGGCUGUGGCAUGCUUUUCACUUUACGUUUCUGGAUUUGGUUUCAUCAUCUCUUGAUUUUGCGACUCCACUCGCCAAGGAUGUUGAGCUAUGAUUGUCUUGCUUGUAGUCUGUGGUUUCCACGUCGGGGUGACGGUGGUCUUAGGGAGAAGGCGUCUGGAAGCAUCGACGCUGCGGUGUGUUUCGUGACUCGGGCUGUGGUCUGUCUUGGUGGGUCGUCCGUGUCCUGCUCUUGCUGAGUGGAAGGUUCUCCGCAGCUCAGCUGUCAGACGUGUCUUGAAGAACCCAGGAGGACAGGGGUCAGUCUGUGUCUGUGCCCUCAUUGCUGGCGGCCCAGCCUCGUUCUGAUGGCACUGCCCUCUUGUCGGAGAAGCUUCCGUCGCUGGCUGGGGAGUCCCUCCAUCUUCUCUCAUUUGAGAACUUACUUCGCCUGUAUUCGUGAAGGGUGUUUCCUGGACACGGCACUCUGGGCUGCCAGCCUUUCCGUCUUGACUGUGUCGCUGCCCCUCGAGGCCCCCGGGGCUGCCGGUUGCCUAACUUCUGUUGACCUGUCGUCAGUCAAGUUCUCAGACUCUUCUGUCGUCCCCAUUCUGCUAGUCUGUCUAGUGAGUUUUAACGGUUUGGUGAUUUUGACUUUCAGGCCUAACAUUUCCAGACGACUCCUCUUGUGUCUUGUUUCUUUGCUGAGACUGUUAAUGUCUUUACAUUUAUUGCAAAAUGUCUGUGAUUGCUUCUUCGAGUGUUUUUCUGACCUUUACUUUAGAGUCUCAGAGAAUUUCAGCACCUAUGUUUUUUCACCCUUGGCAUCCGCUGAAGGUCUUUUCCUCUGAGUUGGCAUCUCGAUGGCUCCUUGCAGACCAAGUAAUUGUGGGUUACGUCAUGGACAUUUCGAACGUCACUUGAGCGGGUCUGGGUGUCGUCUGGAUCCUGGGCGGCUGGGGCGUCUGCUCCACGGGCACUGGCUCUCGUCAGGUUUGGGCCCUCACCCACAGCGGUCUGUGGCCCGGCCGGUGUCGGCCCAGCUUCCAGGCCCCGGCUCUCUGGACCUGCCCUUCGGCCGGGAUCGGGCGGGCCCGCAAGCUCUUGUGUCUGGGUGUGCGGCUGGGUGGUCAGCCUUAGCGGUCACGGCCACCUCCGCCUCCACUCAGCGGCCAUGACCUCCCUCUCGCCUGGGUGCCAGCACCGCCCACUGCUCCAGCCAGAGACUCGGGGCUCUUGCUACCCCACUCUGUCGUGCCCCUCCUGGGUCAGUCCACAUCGGGGUCCCCCCAGCGGCAGCCAGAAAGGGCACAGCAACGGGGGUUCUCUCAGAGCCACGGCUGUGCUCCGCGCUCAACACUGGGGGCUCCCGUAGCUGCCACUGCUUGGUGCCACUGCUUGGUGCCACCGGGGGCCACCCGGGGCAUGAAGAGAAGAGAAGAGGCCCGGGCAUCUCCGCUCCGUGAGCACCAGGGGCUGAGGCCACUAGGAGCCCGGGCCGGCACGGACACUGAGUGCGUGUUCUGCUCUCACUUCCCCUUGCCCGCCACUGCUGUCGCCGUGCCACAGGAGGGCCGGGGUCUGCGUGCCUGUACCCUCUCAUUGGGACCCACGACCUCCCCCACAGAGCUGUAGGGUCUCAGGAUCCUCGCCGGCCCGCAUCCCGCGUGUCCGCUGCUGCCUCCGGCCAGACUUCGGCACGCGUGUCCCGAGGACGUGCGCGAGGACGCUCUCAGGCCAUCUUCUGUCUCCCUGCGCACCCGCCCCACGACCCUGCUGCCUGCCCAGCCUUCUGCACCCGCCCGCGGACUCAGCCUCAUUUCAAGCUCACGCCCGCUUUUCUCCGUCCGGCUCCUUUACAGUCUGUGUGCUUUUCUUACCCCUGUGUUUUUGUUCUACAGAUUUUACUGUUUCCGUGAGGAGUUUACCUUCGAUGUAUUUUAAGUCUUCAGAAAACCGCCCACGUUUAUGGCUUAUCAGGAGCACCCGUGCACUUGUGGGGCUCACCGGCGACUUUUCGUGGCAGAACCUCGUGGCUCUGGCUGCUCGGUCUCGGGCAUGCGCGCGUGGGCAGUUCCGGGUUCUGUUCUUCUGCCCUUGCCUCCGGGUCUCCCUCCCUGUGCUGUGUCCGGUGGUUCUGAGAUGGGUCCCUGUUGUUUCCACGGGCUGGAGCGCCCACUUUGGCUGUGCGGCCCGCACCGGCGGACGCUGGGCCCUCCGCCUCCCUAGCCGAGCCCCUCACGGGCGCUGCCCGGCUCUCUCCCUGUGGCCGGUGUGGCUCCAGCCCCGGCAGCCUCUGGCCGGCACCACCUCUGGCCUGGAGGGACAUCACUUCCCAAGGGCCUGUCCGCAUCUGCCGGCUUUGUCUUCUCAACGGUGGCAGGGGUGGCCGUGCACCGAGCGGCCGACAGCUCAACACGAGCUCCUGGUGCAGCCAGGCGCAGAAAUCAGGCCCCUGCCGCAUCGGCGCCCCCGCCUGUCUUGUCUGCCACCCGUCACCCAGGACAUCCACUGGUAAACCCCCAGGUCGGGCCAGCUCUGCCCCAUGUCCCCAUCCCACAUGCCGUGCCCGCAGAACUCGCCCCCAUCCCUGCCCUGCCUGGGCUUCCCCAGCGCUUCUCCAGCGUACAGGUCGGGCACCCCCUGUACGUCUCCCUGCCGGGGGCACGCACACGUGGUGGGCAUGCUCUGGCGUUUUCUGCAUGCCAGUGACCUCGUCUGCUCAGAGGUUUUGGGGCACGGCUGCCAAGGAGGCAGCCUU